GACGAGGUCCACAAACGUUAUUCGGAAUUACUGGGCGUAAAGCGUGCGCAGGCGGUUUGCUAAGACAGGUGUGAAAUCCCCGGGCUUAACCUGGGAACUGCGCUUGUAACUGGCAAGCUGGAGUGUGGCAGAGGGGGGUGGAAUUCCACGUGUAGCAGUGAAAUGCGUAGAGAUGUGGAGGAACACCGAUGGCGAAGGCAGCCCCCUGGGCUAACACUGACGCUCAUGCACGAAAGCGUGGGGAGCAAACAGG
rnacentral:rRNA from 1 species